GUUAUUUUAUUUCAUUUUAUUUUAUUUUAUUUUAUUUUCUUUUUUGUAUUAGUUUUUAAAAUUAGUUUAUAAUAAUAUGUAAUAAAUUAUAUGAAUGAGAAUAUCUAUAUAAUGAUCAUUAAAUCAUAAUAUAUUCAGUAUAAUAUAAAACAAAACAAAAUUAGAAAAAAAGAUUUAUAUUUAAUUAAUGGAUAAUAUAUAUAAAAAUAUAUGUUAUAUAAUAUACAAAGUAUUAAUAAUGUAAAAUAUAAACGGAAAAAAAUAUAGGAAAGUAUGGAUUUAUAAUUUGAAUAUAUAUUCAUAAAAUUAAUUAAUUAAUUAAUUAUAUUGUAAAUAUACACAACUGAUUAAUUUAUUAUAUGCCAAAUUUAAAAAAUGUCACAUAUAAUAUAUAUAAAUUAAUGUGAAUAAAACAUUGUUUUAUAUUAUUAUUUCAAAUUCUCAUAUUUAAUAACUUUUUAUAUACAUUCAUCCUCGUCAAACUUAGGCAAAUAUAAAAAUUUUUUAAUAACAUAUACAGGUACUAUAAAAUUAAUGGGGUAACAAGGAAUUAUAAAUAUUUCAAAAAAUGAAAGUAAGAUUAAAUGUAACAAUGGUGAACGCUUAUUCUGAAUCCUUAAAUCUAAUAUUUUGUCUAAAAAUAGAUUAUCAUAAAAUUCUAAUUUAUAUUUUAAUUUUUUAAUAUAUUUUAUCUGUAAUUCAUUAUUCAUAUAAUUAACAUGAUCAAUGUAAUCAUAUUUUGCAUCAUUUAUUUCUUGUUUUAAUAAACCAAAAUAACUAGGUUUUUUAUCUGUUUCAUCAUAAUUAGAUAUUGUAUCUAUAUCCUUGUCAUUAUCAUUAUCAUUAUCAUUAUUUAUAUGACUCGUUUUAUGCGUUUGUAAGAUUUUGUUAGUUGUCUCAUCAUUCUUUGGAUAUAUUUCACAUAAUUGUCUAAUCAAAUUAUAAUAUGUUAUAUUAUCAUUUUGAGAGACAUUAAGAAAUGUGUUAUAAUAUACCUAAAAGUUAUAAAUAAAUUUAUAAAUAAUGUUAUUAAUAAUAUAAGAGUAUGAAAAAAAAAAAAAAAAAAAACAUGAUAAAUAAUAUGUAUAUACAUUUUCACAUAUUAUGUAUUUUAUAUUAAUACCUUAUUAGAAUUAAAUAAGCCUAAAAUAAAAAGUAAAAACACAAAAAAUUUAUUCAUUGAAAAAAGAUAAUUCGAUUUAUUAAAGACAUUAUAAAUAUAUAUAAACCUUAUAUUUAUAUAUAGAUAAUAUAUUCAUGAUAUAUGAGGGUUUUUAUAAAAUAUAUAUUAUAUUUUAAUAAUUUUAUAUAAAUUCGUUGAAAAAUUAAAUAAUAAAAAAAUUUAUUUUAUAAAUACUAAAAAAUUAUAUAAUAUAUAUAUUUAUGAAAAAUAAAAAAAAUAAAAAUAAUAAAAAAAAUAUUAUAUUUUUAUCAAUAUAUAUAAUAAAUAUAUAUAUUAUAAUGUAUAAUAUAAUAAUUUAAUAUAUUUUUGGUUAUAAUGAAAUAUCAAUUAUUUAUAUAUAAAUUGAUUUAUAUAUUAAAACAUAUUUUUUAAUUAUAUAUAUAAUAAAUUAAGCAAAUAUAUAAUUGGCUAACGUAAUAAUUUUAAUAUAUAUAGAUAAAAAUUACUUUUUCUUAAAAAAACAUAAAUUAUUAGAAAUAUAAAAUAAGUAAAAACAGCCAAAAUAAUAAUAAAAUAAUUAAUUAAUUUUUUAGUAUAUAAUUAUAUGCAUAUAAUAUAAAUAUAUAUAAUUAUAAUUAUAUAUUUUUAUUAAUUUAUUAAAAAUAAUAAUAAUAUAAAUACAAUUACAGGGAUUUCAUUAAAAUAUUAUAUAUAAUAUAUUUUAAAAAUAAAUUAUAUUAAUAAUUAUUUGUGAAGAAUGAAUAAAAUUAUAUUAAUUUUUUUUUUUUUUUUUUGUAUUUCCUUUAUCGUUGUAGUUAAAAUUAUAUUUUAUAAAAAUUUAUAUUAAUGUUUAUGUAAUAUGUUUUCUAUAAUAAAAAGUUUUAUUUUUAUUAUGAAUUUUUUUUUUUUUUUUUAAUUAUUAAAAAUCAAAAUAUAUUAUUAAUAUAAUUAUAUAUAAUUUUUUUUUUUUUUUUUUUUUUUUUUUUUUGAAUAUAAUAAUAAAGUUAUUUAUAUUGCAAAUUUUUUUUUUAUUAUAUUUAUAAUAUGUAUAAUAUGAACAAAUCAUUAUGUAAUUGUAUAAAAUAGAAUAAUAAGAAUCAGUUAUCUUUAUGUUUACACAAUAUAUAUAUAUAUAUAUAAAUCAUUAUAGAGAAGUAUAAAAUAUAAAUGUAGUCUUAUUAAAAUAUUUAGAUAUAAUUUAUAUAAAUGCAACAUAUGUAUAAUAAAAUAUAAUAUGUAACAAGAAUAAUUAUAAAUAAUUGAAUAAUAUAGUAUAAAUAAAAAUAGAAUUUUAUAUAAUAUGUCUAUAGAAUUUUAAUAAUACAGAAAUGGCUAAUACUUUAUAUCGAAUGAAUUACAAUAUAUUAUAAGAUAAAAAAAUAGUAAUAUUUUAAGGCAUAUAAUAUAUUUUAUAAAGAAAACACAAAAAGAAAGAAAGAUCCAACAUUAUAUAUAUAUAUAUAUAUAUAUAUAUAUUUCUCUUUGUUUUUGAAUAACUAAAAUAAGUAGUUUUACCUUUUAUCUUAAUAUCAUAUAGUUAAUUCUUAUUUCUUCUCUUAUUCUUAACGUAAUAUUUAAUUUUACAUUUUUUAUGAUUAUAUGUUCCUUUGUAGAUUUGUACUUCUUUUGCUGAAAUUAUUUUAUUUUUAUUUGUUCAUUUUUAUUUAUAUAUUUUUAUGAAUGUAAUUUUUAGUCUUUUUUACAAAGAACAAUAAAAUAUUCAUAUUAUGUAUAAACAAAUUGGUAUUUCUGCUAUAUAUAUAUAUAUGUAUAUAUUCAUAAAUUUUCUAGGGUCUUGUGUAAAAUACGGUGUACACAAUUGCAUAUAAUUUUUUUUAUAUAUGAAGAAGAAAUUAAAUAGAAAUAUUAAUUUCCUAAUAUAUUAAAAUUAAAUUUAAUUUUUUGUACCUUAAAGACAUAAUUUAAAAAAAAAAAAAAAAAAAAAAAAAAAAUGGAAAAUGUAUAAAGAAAUAAAAAUAUAAAAAAAUGUAUGAAAAUUCUAUGUAUAUUUAUAUAUAAAAAAUUUUAAGUAUACUUAAAUUUUAUUUUUUUAAAAAAAAUAUGUUUAUAAUUCAAAAAUAUAUAUGUUGUAAUUUAUGUAUAUAUUUAUAAAGAAACAAAUAUUAGUAAAACAUACAUUUAAAAAAAAAAAAAAUUAUGAAGUAUUUUACAUUCUCCAAUCUGUCCGUAACACAAUGAAAAAAAAAAUAAUAAAAAUUAAGAAAAUUUUUUUUAUAUAUUUUUUACAUAUAUUAGAUUGUUUACUAAAAAAAUUACUAUUUUUAACUUUUGUAUUUUGUUAUAAAUUGGUUUAUAUAUAUAUGUAGAUAGCGAAAUACUUUUAAUUUUUUUUUUUUUUUUUUUUUUAUGAUGAACUAUCCUAGGUAGCUAGCUAAAAUAAUAAUGAAAAAAAAAAAAAAAAAUUAUAUAUAAAAGUUUUAUUUUGAAUUAAGAAUGUUAUAAUAUUGUUAUUUUUAUUCAUAAAAAUAAUAUUUAUAAAAGGUAGUAAAAUUUAUUUAUAUAUAUUUAUACUUAUAAGUGGUUAAAAUUGGACAAAAUUUUAUUUUGAAAGUGGGAUAUGAAAAUAAAAUAUGAAUUAAAUAUUGAGGCAUAAUGUUAAAGGAAUUUAUAAUUUUUUCACAUACAUAUAUAUAUAUAUAUUAUUUUGUUAUAAUAUAUUUUUGUAUAUAGAUACAAAAUAUUUAUAUAUGCAUAUAAGGGAUGUAAAAAUAUUGGUGCCCACAUAUUAGCAUAAAGAUACAUUCAAAAAUUGUUUUUAUAUUAAUUAAAUAUACAAAAAUAUUAGUUUUUAAAAAAGAAAAAUUGUAAUUAUUAAAUAAAUAAACAUGAUUGCUGCUCUGAAAU
rnacentral:sRNA from 1 species